rnacentral:misc_RNA from 1 species
CAAAUGCCGGUAUCCGGUGCAUGUUGGGUAAUUGGUGGCGAAUGAUGGUGCCGCUGUGGUGACUCUGUGUCUGCUACAUUUUGGUAUUUGUGGGUUAAUAAACUCGGUAUCUUGAGUGGCUGGCGUGAGGGACUACGCUGAAAAAUUUCCUUGCUUCAACAUAAUGGGUGAAGAACGAGAUCUCGACAAAGACAAGGACCGGAGACGAAGGCGCAGUCGAUCUCGAUCCAGGAGCCGGGAACGCAGGCGCCGUUCCAGGUCUCGGGAGACCAGGAGGAGAAGCCGAAGUCGUAGCCGAGACAGAGGCGCCGCCGGAGGAGCAAAAAAGUCUCGCAGAAGGAAGCCCUCUAUUUACUGGGAUGUGCCGCCUCCUGGCUUUGAGCACAUCACUCCCCUUCAGUACAAGGCCAUGCAAGCGUCUGGUCAGAUUCCGGCCACUAUGCUGGCAGCUACGGGCGCCAUAGCCACAGUGGGCGGGACUACCACGACCAUAGGCGGAGGAGGCCUUGGAGGAGGGGGAGGAGGAGGGGGUGCAGGCCCUGUUGCACAGGCAAUCAUCCAACCACCAGCUGCUGUGCCUAUUGUGGGCGGCACCAUCACUCGUCAGGCACGGCGUCUCUACGUGGGAAAUAUACCUUUUGGCUGCUCUGAGGAGGAAAUGAUGGACUACUUCAACGCCCAGAUGCAUGCCUGUGGCUUCUCCCAAGCACCAGGCAAUCCUGUGCUAGCUUGCCAGAUCAACCUGGACAAGAACUUUGCAUUUUUAGAGUUUCGAUCAAUUGAUGAGACAACCCAGGCUAUGGCAUUCGAUGGCAUCAACUUCAAGGGCCAGAGCUUGAAGAUCAGGCGGCCUCAUGAUUACCAGCCGAUGCCAGGCAUGUCUGAGACUCCCUCGGUGGCCGUCCCAGGUGUUAUUUCAACGGUAGUGCAAGACUCGCCUCAUAAAAUAUUCAUUGGGGGAUUGCCGAACUAUCUAAACGAAGACCAGGUCAGGGAGCUUUUGAUGUCAUUUGGACAGCUGCGUGCAUUCAAUCUUGUGAAAGACAGCGCUACUGGACUCUCCAAAGGCUAUGCAUUUUGCGAGUAUGUGGAGGUUGCUACUACAGACCAGGCAAUUAUGGGACUCAAUGGAAUGCAGCUUGGUGAUAAGAAACUGAUAGUGCAAAGGGCAAGUGUUGGCGCAAAGAACAGUCAAAUGAAUCAAGCCCCAGUACAGAUUCAGGUACCAGGUUUGCAACUACAGGGCGGCGCAGGCCCUCCAACAGAAGUGCUAUGCCUCAUGAACCUUGUGUGCCCUGAAGAGCUGAAAGAUGAAGAGGAGUAUGAGGACAUUCUUGAAGACAUUCAUGAGGAGUGUAACAAGUACGGCGUCGUCAAAAGCAUUGAGAUACCUCGGCCGAUUGAUGGUGUAGAAGUGCCUGGUUGUGGAAAGGCCUAUGUGGAGUUCAAUUCUGUCAUCGACUGCCAGAAGGCACAGCAGAGCUUGACGGGACGCAAGUUCAGCAACCGUGUAGUUGUAACAUCCUACUUCGACCCGGACAAGUACCACCGUCGUGAAUUCUGAGCAAGCAACCUGGUAACUGCAGCUUGGUCUCUACCGCCUGCCAUCUUCAUCUGUCGCUGCAUAUUCUGUUUCUGCUGCACUCUUGUGGGCAUGUAUUUCUAAAGUGCA